CCGAUGCCCACCCUUACUUGUGGUCCGGCCCUUCCCGGGACCUCGCGCAUAGCAGGAGCUUAGUGCACCGGGUUGUCCUUUUAGUUAAUCUGAUGACUUGCGCUUUUCUUUAUAUACAAUUUAAAUUCUCUAGACUCCUGGUAGUUCCGGUGACACCAAUUGCCAAUCUCUACCCACUUAUCCAUGCCUGUACAGGAUAACAGAAAAUGGAUAUAUGACUAGUUGAAAUUACUUAAUGGAAAAUAUACCUAUUCAGCUACAUGGUUUGGCUUUCUUCACCCUUGUAUAAGGAUUCAAGUUCAUAUGUGUGAGUUUGUGUUUAUAUCCUUCAAGAUCGCAAUCCUUUUAAACUCAGGUUCAGGUCUUCCUAAUUUUUUGCCAGCAUAAGGAGUGAAGAGGAUUAACUUGUUCACCGUUAAUCAUACUUCCAGAGUGUUCUAGUGAGAGAGCUGUUCACUUUCCUGCAUUUAUCAAUCUAGAUCCCCAGGGCACCCAGGAAGGUGUGUUUCUUUGAUUGGCUGGUAACCAAGGAAGAGAUAUUGAUAGCAGAGAAUCUGAGGAAGAUGAGGAUUGUAUAUUUGUGGGUGCUUCAUGUGUAGAUGUUUGGUCUUCGUGUAGAUCAUCUUCUGCUACAUUGCUGGAUGGCAGCGCAUUUGCGGGUGGCUGGUCCUGAAUCGGUUCGGUGUACAAUGGGUGAUGCCAAGCAAAGGAAACCUGCAAUAGAGGCGGAACUAGGUAUAGAUAAAGAAAGGGCGCAGAAUGCAUGUCGUAAGACCAGUCACAGCUACAAAUAUAACAAAGCCACAUGCAGGCUGCGGCUACAUGGAAGGAGAUGUUUUUUCAUUUCCCCUCGUGUUUUUGGUAGUUAGAAGGAUUUUACAUUUUGCAGAACUGGAUGCAGAUUGUCAAUGUCACUUAAUAUCCAAGCUCCAAGUAUCUUACAUGGAUUGAUCCUCUCCAGAAUAUCUUGUAUACAUGAAUCGUAACAUAAAUGAGGUAGCUGGGAAGUCCUAUCAAGAAAAUCCAUCAUUCCUGUUGUGCUGCCCCACACGGUCACUAGGUCUUGCAUAUCAGAUUUCUAACAAUGGAGCUUUCAUCUUCAAUCCCAGUUUCUAGUCACUAUGCCAUCUGUUUCAUGGAGAAAACUUCUGUUAGCCUCAAGGAACAGAUGGAUAAGGAAGAGAGUAAAAAUGAAGAAGAUAUUAGAUUGGAAUGUUGUGAUUUCAACAACUUACACAAGAAUAUAUUCCAAGAAGAAACCAGACAAGUCUGUAUUGAGUGCUAGAGACUAGUUCAAUGGUCCAAAGAAGUGGGCAUAUGGGAAAUGGUUUUCAACUUUUAGCCAUAAGUGUUGUCUUGUACGUGGCUAAGUCAAUGGUGGUAGCUACUGUCAGUUUACUCAUAAAAGCAUUUCUCAUCUCCCUCUUUCUGUAAAAUGGUCCCCUAGUUUUUGAAAAUGAAAUGUAACUAAAACUUUACGGAUAUUGCAGGGACAUUUAUACUGGGAAA